CGUUAGCGGCGGACGGGUGAGUAACACGUGGGUGACCUACCUAUAAGACUGGGAUAACUCCGGGAAACCGGGGCUAAUACCGGAUAACACAUGAAACCGCAUGGUUUCAUGAUGAAAGACGGUUUUGCUGUCACUUAUAGAUGGACCCGCGGCGUAUUAGCUAGUUGGUAAGGUAACGGCUUACCAAGGCAACGAUACGUAGCCGACCUGAGAGGGUGAUCGGCCACACUGGAACUGAGACACGGUCCAGACUCCUACGGGAGGCAGCAGAC
rnacentral:rRNA from 1 species